rnacentral:misc_RNA from 1 species
CACCACUCAAGCCUGGCUUGGUAUUGGGCGACGGGGCUCCCCCGCGCCUGGAUUUCACCGGCUGGACGACCCGUAUCUCAGCGUUGCGGCAACAGAUUCGCUGGCGAGAGGGGCGGUCCGCGCCGUUAAAACGUCAUUCAAGG